UACGUAGGGUGCAAGCGUUGUUCGGAUUUACUGGGCGUAAAGGGCGCGUAGGCGGUCGUGACAAGUCACUUGUGAAAUCUCCGGGCUUAACUCGGAACGGUCAAGUGAUACUGUCGGACUAGAGUACAGAAGGGGCAACUGGAAUUCUCGGUGUAGCGGUGAAAUGCGUAGAUAUCGAGAGGAACACCUGCGGCGAAGGCGGGUUGCUGGGCUGACACUGACGCUGAAGCGCGAAAGCUAGGGGAGCGAACGGG
rnacentral:rRNA from 1 species